rfam:Schistosoma haematobium scaffold1258_4, whole genome shotgun sequence.
AUCUAGCUGACGAGUCCCGAAUGGGGUGAAACGCGAGUCCUAGGU